rnacentral:sRNA from 1 species
CCCUAGCCCCGAUAGCAGCGGUAUCCUUUUUCUGGCUCCUUUAGACAGAAAAAGAUACAAGCGGAUAGCGGGAAAUAGC